rnacentral:misc_RNA from 1 species
GAUGAAGAACGCAGCGAAAUGCGAUACGUAAUGUGAAUUGCAGAAUUCAGUGAAUCAUCGAGUCUUUGAACGCACAUUGCGCCCUCUGGUAUUCCGGAGGGCAUGCCUGUCCGAGCGUCAUUGCUGCCCUCAAGCACGGCUUGUGUGUUGGGCCCCGCCCCCCGAUCCCGGGGGGCGGGCCCGAAAGGCAGCGGCGGCACCGCGUCCGGUCCUCGAGCGUAUGGGGCUUUGUCACCCGCUCUGUAGGCCCGGCCGGCGCCUGCCGAUCAACCAAACUUUUUUCCAGGUUGACCUCGGAUCAGGUAGGGAUACCCGCUGAACUUAAGCAUAUCAAUAAACGGAGGA